GAUCAUUACUGAUUUGCUUAAUUGCACCACAUGUGUUUUUCUUUGAAACAAACUUGCUUUGGCGGUGGGCCCAGCCUGCCGCCAGAGGUCUAAACUUACAACCAAUUUUUUAUCAACUUGUCACACCAGAUUAUUACUUAAUAGUCAAAACUUUCAACAACGGAUCUCUUGGUUCUCGCAUCGAUGAAGAACGCAGCGAAAUGCGAUACGUAAUAUGAAUUGCAGAUAUUCGUGAAUCAUCGAAUCUUUGAACGCACAUUGCGCCCUCUGGUAUUCCGGAGGGCAUGCCUGUUUGAGCGUCGUUUCUCCCUCAAACCGCUGGGUUUGGUGUUGAGCAAUACGACUUGGGUUUGCUUGAAAGACGGUAGUGGUAAGGCGGGAUCGCUUUGACAAUGGCUUAGGUCUAACCAAAAACAUUGCUUGCGGCGGUAACGUCUACCACGUAUAUCUUCAAACUUGACCUCAAAUCAGG
rnacentral:misc_RNA from 1 species